rnacentral:rRNA from 1 species
AGUGAACGCUGGCGGUAGGCCUAACACAUGCAAGUCGAACGGCAGCACAGUAAGAGCUUGCUCUUACGGGUGGCGAGUGGCGGACGGGUGAGGAAUACAUCGGAAUCUACUUUUUCGUGGGGGAUAACGUAGGGAAACUUACGCUAAUACCGCAUACGACCUACGGGUGAAAGCAGGGGAUCUUCGGACCUUGCGCGAUUGAAUGAGCCGAUGUCGGAUUAGCUAGUUGGCGGGGUAAAGGCCCACCAAGGCGACGAUCCGUAGCUGGUCUGAGAGGAUGAUCAGCCACACUGGAACUGAGACACGGUCCAGACUCCUACGGGAGGCAGCAGUUGGGAAUAUUGGACAAUGGGCGCAAGCCUGAUCCAGCCAUACCGCGUGGGUGAAGGAGGCCUUCGGGUUGUAAAGCCCUUUUGUUGGGAAAGAAAAGCAGCAGGUUAAUACCCCGCUGUUCUGACGGUACCCAAAGAAUAAGCACCGGCUAACUUCGUG